GACGAGCGCUGGCGGCGUGCUUAACACAUGCGAGUCGAACGGUGAAGCGCCUUCCUUUUUGGUGGGUGUGGAUGAGUGGCGAACGGGUGAGUAACACGUGAGUAACCUGCCCCCUUCUUCUGGAUAACCGCAUGAAAGUGUGGCUAAUACGGGAUAUUCUGGGUCUGUCGCAUGAUGGGUCUGGGAAAGAUAUUGUUUCGGUGGGGGAUGGGCUCGCGGCCUAUCAGCUUGUUGGUGGGGUGAUGGCCUACCAAGGCGGUGACGGGUAGCCGGCCUGAGAGGGUGGCCGGUCACACUGGGACUGAGACACGGCCCAGGCUCCUACGGGAGGCAGCAGUGGGGAAUAUUGCACAAUGGGCGCAAGCCUGAUGCAGCGACGCCGCGUGAGGGAUGGAGGCCUUCGGGUUGUGAACCUCUUUCGCCAGUGAAGCAGGCCUGCCUCGUUUGUGGGUGGGUUGACGGUAGCUGGAUAAGAAGCGCCGGCUAACUACGUG
rnacentral:rRNA from 1 species